UACGUAGGGUGCGAGCGUUAAUCGGAAUUACUGGGCGUAAAGCGUGCGCAGGCGGUUCGCUGUGUCCGAUGUGAAAGCCCCGGGCUUAACCUGGGAAUGGCAUUGGAAACUGGCGGGCUUGAGUGUGGCAGAGGGGGGUGGGAAUUCCGCGUGUAGCAGUGAAAUGCGUAGAGAUGCGGAGGAACACCGAUGGCGAAGGCAGCCCCCUGGGCUAACACUGACGCUCAGGCACGAAAGCGUGGGGAGCAAACAGG
rnacentral:rRNA from 1 species